rnacentral:lncRNA from 1 species
GCAAAGGCCUCCCUUGGCUCUCUGAUAAAGUUGGAGCUGUGGGUGCAGCAUUUCACUUCCACCUAGCAGCAUCAAUGAGCCAGCUGCUUACUGGGGAACACGCAAACCCCCAGCUGCUGGCGUGCAGGAAAAGAAUCCAGGAGAUCACCUGAUGAAGCCCAGCAUUUUACAGAUAGGCAGUGGAGCAGGGGAAUCCAGUUGACACUGUGGCUAAAUUUCAGAACACCUCCCACGAGAUCUUGCAAAGGAGAUGGAGAAAAUAUGGCUGAAUGCCAGCAAGGUUGGACGGAAGCAUGACUGCUCUAACAACCAAGCUCAAAGAGCACUGCUCACCCAAUGUUUCCUUCAUGACUAGAGCAAAGUGGUGAAAGGACCCUGGUGAGAGGCCCAAAGAACAGGAGGUGUGAGCCAACAGAAGGUGGGGUCCUGCUGGGCCUAUGUUGCAGGCUAUUUGGAGGCUGAACUUGAGGUCAGUAUCACCAGCAUUUUAAGGACGGCAGUGGCCAGAUCAAGUUUAUAUUCUGAGAGGAGCACUCGGGUGACCAGGUGAAGAAUGGCCUAGGGGUCACUCCCACCAGAGAUCAGGAGUAUCCACCUCACACACCAGCCCCGCCCCAGAGGACAGGGUCUUUCUUCAGCCUGUCUCUGAAGUACCACUCCCGUCUCCAUCCUGACUCAUCCUGAGACACAGUUACUGAAUGUUUACUGUGGGCCAGGCUCUCACUGUACAUUAUUCUAUUCAAAUCCCAUAACAGCCCCAUAAUGUAGGCAUCAUUUCUACUUUGUAAGUGAGGAAAUGGAUAAAGAGGAGUGUAUAACUUGUCCAACUCCCUCCCUUCUCCCACCAUUUAUGAAUGUCAGAGUCAAGACUGAGCCAGGUCUAGUUGAUUCCACAGCCCAGAAGGAUCACGUUUCUGAUACAUGGGAUACAUUGUGGGUUCUCCCAUGACUACUAGGACACACAGUGAGAAAGGCCUAGGAAGGACUGAAACCUCUGGAGCCAGCUAACCAUUUACACAAAGCCCAGGAGAUGAGAGCUGGGGCGGAGAGUAGAGUGCAGGAGGGAUGGGGUCUCUCUGAUCACAUUGCCACCGGGGAGGAUGUUUUCUCUGUGCAGGUCUAUUUAAAGUAUCUACUUCCCAUACGUUUCUCAUGUGUUUCCCUUACUGAAGCACAGUGUUUUUGAAUACGAAUUAGAAUGUUUUCUUGGGCCCACAAUGAAAGGAUAAGAGUUUCUUUAGAAAACAGCCACUUAAAACUGGGAUGUACAUGAAAAUCAGGCAGUGACAAGAAGCCUCAUGCUCUAACUUACACACGCUGACAGAUGCGCAGACUUAUCAUUGCUCCUUGGCUGGUCUGCACACCACUCUUACACAGGUACAACAACAAUCAGACUAUAAAUGAUCAAAACCAACUAUUGAAAGGAUCCCAGGCCAUCUGUCAGAGAUUACACCCUAGGCAGUUGGCUAACACACACAUUGCGGCAGGUCUUAAAUGAAUAGUCCAUUCUGGAUAAAGUCAUUGCUUCCCUUGAGAUGCAAGAAACUGUGCUGUUCUGCUCCUGGGUAGCCUGAUGAAUUGAUUAGAGCAAAGAGAUUUCCAGCAGGAGCAAAGGCCCUGAAGCAGGAACUUGCUUAGCAUGUUAAAGGAAGUAUGGUUGAAGGCUAGUGAGGUAGGCGAGGGCACAGAGAUGAAGUCAGAGAAAGCAGCAGGAGACCAAACAGUGUAGGGCCUUAGAGGUCAUCUAAGGACUUCAGCUUUUACUCUGAAUGAGGUAAGAGCCAAUGGAGGACACUAAAAAGAAGAGUAAUAUGCAUGACUUACGGUUUUAAAGGGUCAGCCUGGCUUAUAGGCUAUAGAUGGAACUCCAGAUAUGCAGCAAUUGUAACAUCCAGCAGAGAGAUGAUAAUGUCUUGAACCAAAGUGCUAUUGGUAGAGGUGAUGAAAAGGGUUUAGAUAUUAGACAUAUUUUGAAAUAAGGGUGUAUUAGUCAAGGUACUCCAGAGAAACAGGACCAAUAAAGGUUGAUAAAGAUAAAGAGAAAAAAAAAAAUUAACGAAUUGGCUCAUGUGAGGGUUGGCAAAUCUGAAAUCCAUAGGGCAGGCCAGCAGGCUGGAGACUCAAGUAAGAGUUGCUAUUGCAGUCUUUAGUCCAAAUUCCACAGAGCAGCAGACUAGAGACUCACACAAGUUUCCCAUGUUGCAGUCAAGAAUUCUUGAUAAGAAUUUCUUCUUUUUCAGGAAACUUCAGUCUUCAGUCUUAAGGCCUUCAACUGAUUGGAAGGCCCCCAGUCAGCUGGUGGGGAAGACCCAUGCACAUUAUAGAGGGUAAUCUGCUUUGUUCACUGUCUACUGAUGUCAAUGUUAAUUAUCUUUAAAAAAAAAUACCUUCAAUAUCUAUUUUGUUCUUUGGUCAAACAACUGGGCACCAUGACCUAGCCAAGAGAACACAUGAAAUUAACCAUCACAGAGACCCAUGAGGAUGUGUUGAUAUAUUGAAUGUAUGAGAGGAAAAAAAAUCUACUUUUGAGUAGUUCUGAGUUUUUUUACCUGAACAACUGAAAUAAUUUAAUAUUUAUUGAAAUGUUAAAUGCUAGAAGAAAAGAAGCUUUGUGAAUGGAAACCAGGAGUUUGGUUUUGUAUAUGUAAUAUUUAAUAGUCCUUUAGUAUAUCCAAGCAGAUGUAGACAAAGCAAUCUGGAGUUCAUGGAGAAGUUAAAAGCUGAAGGUAAGUAUUUGGGAGUUGUCACUGUGUAGAGGGUAUGUAAAGUUAGAAGACCAAAUAAGAUCUCUUAAGGUUGAAAGUGGAGGAUAGAAUACAGAGGAUAUAUAAAGAAUGAGCCCUACAAGCACAUUAAUUUUUAUAUGAAUAAGAAAGGAGUAGAAACCAGCAAAAGCGAUAGAGAAAGAGUGGCCAGUGAGAGGAUAUGCACCAAGAGCAUAAGAUGGUACAGAAUUCAAGUGAAGAAAGUGUUUCAAGAGCAGAAGGUGAUUAACUAUGUCAAAUGCUGCUAAUAAGUAAGAUGUGCACAGAGAAUUUACCACUGGACAUCUUGGUGGAGCAGUGGAGAUAAAAGCUAGAUUGGGAAAGCUUCAAGAGUAUACGGU